UGAUUUUAAAAUUACCCUUUCAUGCAGUGACCAGAGAAUGAAGUUCUCCACACUAUGCCAUAGUCACUCAGUAGUACUAUUUUUUCUUGAGGAGAUAUAAUA
rnacentral:snoRNA from 1 species